AGCAACCCUUCGGAAUAAAGUAAAGUACGUUAAUUACGGUUUGCUAGGCGUUAGGUGUUAGGCAUAGGGCGAUAGGCGGCGCGGCUAACCAUUCUCUUCCACGUACAUGUUAAUUAUCUAGUCUUCCCCAGUAAUGCCUUGGUUAGCGCACCGUGGCGGCGAUCCAGGAGCCUCGUGCUGGUGGUGGUGGUGAUGGUGGCGUGGCUGGCUGGCUGGCUGUGGCGGGUGUGCACGUGCUAUCAUAUGGAAUGCCCUGGUUAGCGCACCGUGGCGGCGAUCCAGGAGCCUCGUGCUACUUGUGGUGGCGGUGGCGUGGCUGACUGGCUGGCUGUGGCGGGCCUGCACGUGCUAUCAUAUGGGUUGCGUGGUAGGUGCGUUCACUGGUCUGGACCAGGGUUAAAAAGAGACCCUGGUCUGGGCUGUGUUGGUGCGUGUUCUGAAGAGAUAACAUAACAUAACAUAAAUAAUUGGAUAACAAAGGGCCACCAGGGACCAUUUAUAGUCCGACACAAAUAUGAAGGCCGCUGAGGGGGGAGACCUAUCGGGGAUUCCCCGGUUGCAGCUACGCCAAACGUCGCAGCCCCAAUUAUAGGA